AUAAAAAGUGGUAUGGUACAGU
rnacentral:miRNA from 1 species